AUUGAACGCUGGCGGCAUGCCUUACACAUGCAAGUCGAACGGCAGCACGGGGCAACCUGGUGGCGAGUGGCGAACGGGUGAGUAAUGCAUCGGAACGUGCCAUUGAGUGGGGGAUAACGUAGCGAAAGUUGCGCUAAUACCGCAUAUUCUGUGAGCAGGAAAGCAGGGGACCGCAAGGCCUUGCGCUCUUUGAGCGGCCGAUGUCAGAUUAGCUAGUUGGUGAGGUAACGGCUUACCAAGGCGACGAUCUGUAGCGGGUCUGAGAGGAUGAUCCGCCACACUGGAACUGAGACACGGUCCAGACUCCUACGGAGGCAGCAGUGGGAAUUUUGGACAAUGGGCGCAAGCCUGAUCCAGCCAUGCCGCGUGACCGUGAGAA
rnacentral:rRNA from 1 species